CCCAGGCUGGUCUUGAAUUCCUGAGCUCAAGCAAUCCACCCACCUUGGCCCCUCAAAGUGUUGGGAUUACAGGUGUGAGCCACCGGGCCUGGUCCUGGGUCAUAUUUUCCUGCCUCUUUGUAUGCCUGUUAAGGUUUGAUUGGAUGCCAGAUGUGGCUGGAAAGGCCUCAUGAUCACUUACUUCUAUUAAUUAUCUGACUUCAUCUCUUAAUCCCCACCCCUCCCAGGACUCUGAUUUCACCACCCUGAACUUCUUGCACACUUCCUCGUUCAUUUGCAAGUGCUGUCCCCUUUCUCUGGAGCACUCUUCCCUAGGCAGUCCCCAUGAGUUUCUCCCUAACUUCAUUUGGGUCUCCAUUCAAAUGUCAUGGUACCAAAAACACUCUAUCACCUUUCCUUGCUUUAUUCACUUUUAAACUUUUAUAACAACUUGCCAGCCGUGUUACUUACUGAUUGUCUAUUUUUAUCUCAUCACCCACCUCUGCUAAAAUGAUCGCAUCACUGAGAAACUACUGCCAUCAGCUAUACAAUGAAAUUAUUUUUAAGCAACAACAACAUCAGCAGAGAAGAGGGACUGACAGGGUCCAAUGCAUCAGAGGGGUCCAAACUGCUGAUUACGUCUGGCCUAUCUAUCAACAAAAAUCUGCCAGUAUCUUUGUGAUCACCAGAAAAGCCCUCGAGUUUCCAGCAGUGUUUCUUUUUAAUUUCUGUCCCCUCGGGGUGAUGGCUCUCCUUCUGCUAGGCUGACCAGGGGGCCCGGAUGGUGUGCCUGAUAUCUGGGAGGACAUCUCCAAGAAUGUGUGACCUCACCUAGAGGUUGAAGGCUUUACAGUGUUUAAGCCAGAAAGGACUUCGAAGACCCUUUAGCCCAGGGGCUCCCGACUUAGU